rnacentral:rRNA from 1 species
AACGAACGCUGGCGGCAGGCCUAACACAUGCAAGUCGAACGCUCCGCAAGGGGAGUGGCGCACGGGUGAGUAACACGUGGGAACCUACCUUCUGGUACGGAGCAACCAAGGGAAACUUUGGCUAAGACCGUAUACGACCUCCGGGUGAAAGAUGAUCGCCGGAAGAGGGGCCCGCGUCCGAUUAGGUAGUUGGUGAGGUAACGGCUCACCAAGCCUUCGAUCGGUAGCUGGUCUGAGAGGAUGACCAGCCACACUGGGACUGAGACACGGCCCAGACUCCUACGGGAGGCAGCAGUGGGAAUAUUGGACAAUGGGCGCAAGCCUGAUCCAGCCAUGCCGCGUGAGUGAUGAAGGCCUUCGGUUG